CCGUCUAUAUACGUAUAGCAUAUCAAUAAGCGGAGGAAAAGAAACUAACUAGGAUUCCCUCAGUAACGGCGAGUGAAGCGGGAAGAGCUCAAAUUUGAAAUCUUCAAGGUUCUACCUUGACGAAUUGUAGUUUAAAGAAGUGUUUUCUGUUGGAGUUUUGGUAAAAGUUCUUUGGAAUAGGACAUCAUAGAGGGUGAGAAUCCCGUAUUUGACCAUUAUUUCCAACUUUGUGAUACACUUUCAAAGAGUCGGAUUGUUUGGGAAUGCAGUCCAAAAUGGGUGGUAAAUUUCAUCUAAAGCUAAAUACUGGCGAGAGACCGAUAGCGAACAAGUACCGUGAGGGAAAGAUGAAAAGAACUUUGAAAAGAGAGUUAAACAGUACGUGAAAUUGUCAAAAGGGAAGCGUUUGACACCAGUGUUGUUUUCUCGAAAAUCAAUUAAAAAUGGCGGGAUUUUGUGUUGUAUUGACUUUAUCAGCUUUCUGCACUUUUUUCCUAUCUUUUUUAAUGCACUUUUCGUUUAACAAGUCAACAUCAAUUUCUUUUGUUGUAAAAGAGUCAUUGGAAGGUGGCUUUCUUUUCGGAGAAAGUGUUUAUAGCCUUUGACUUCUGCAAUCGGAGAGAUUGAGGUCUGCAGCGUAGAUCCUUCGGGGUUAGAUGCAUUUGUGCUAAGUUAUAGCCUUUCAUAGACAACUUGUUGACUAUGAUCAGUCAUGUAGCUUACUCGCUUAUGUCAUUUUACCUACGCUUAGGAUGUUGACGAUCAGCUGAGCGCG
rnacentral:rRNA from 1 species